rnacentral:rRNA from 1 species
UGGGGAAUCUUGGACAAUGGGGGGAACCCUGAUCCAGCGAUGCCGCGUGAGUGAAGAAGGCCUUCGGGUCGUAAAGCUCUUUGGGUUGGGAAGAAGGAUGUUAGGGUAAUAUCCUAGCAUUUUGACGGUACCGACAGAAUAAGCACCGGCAAACUCUGUGCCAGCAGCCGCGGUAAUACAGAGGGUGCGAGCGUUAAUCGGAAUUACUGGGCGUAAAGGGCGUGUAGGCGGUAGUAUGUGUGUGAUGUGAAAGCCCUGGGCUUAACCUAGGAAGUGCAUUGCAAACUAUAUUACUGGAGUAUAUGAGAGGGUGGCGGAAUUUCCGGUGUAGCGGUGAAAUGCGUAGAGAUCGGAAGGAACGUCGAUGGCGAAGGCAGCCACCUGGCAUAAUACUGACGCUGAGGCGCGAAAGCGUGGGGAGCGAACAG